AUUGAACGCUGGCGGCAGGCCUAACACAUGCAAGUCGAACGAGUGGCGGACGGGUUAGUAAUGUCUGGGACACUGCCUGAUGGAGGGGGAUAACUAAUGGAAACGGUAACUACUACCGCAUACCAUCGGAUGUGCCCAGAUGGGAUUAGCUAGUAGGUGGGGCAAAGGCACACCUAGGCGACGAUCCCUAGCUGGUCUGAGAGGAUGACCAGCCACACUGGAACUGAGACACGGUCCAGACUCCUACGGGAGGCAGCAGUGGGGAAUAUUGGACAAUGGGCGAAAGCCUGAUCCAGCCAUGCCGCGUGUGUGAAGAAGGUCUGCGGAUUGUAAAGCACUUUAAGUUGGGAGGCGUUACCAACAGAAUAAGCACCGGCUAACUUCGUGCCAGCCGCCGCGGUAAUAC
rnacentral:rRNA from 1 species